rnacentral:rRNA from 1 species
UCCGUAGGCGGGCAAUUAAGUCAGAGGUGAAAUCCCACAGCUCAACUGUGGAACUGCCUUUGAUACUGGUUGUCUUGAGUUAUAGUGAAGUAGAUAGAAUAUGUAGUGUAGCGGUGAAAUGCAUAGAUAUUACAUAGAAUACCGAUUGCGAAGGCAGUCUACUGACUGUAUACUGACGCUAAUGGACGAAAGCGUGGGGAGCGAACAGGAUUAGAUACCCUGGUAGUCC